UUCCUACUCCCUCUGUCCCAAAAUUAUUGUCUUAGAUUUUUCUAUAUAUGGAUUCAUUUAGAUAACUAGAUACAUCCGUAUCUAGACAAAUCCAACACAAUAACUUUGGGACGGAGGGAGUACUAU
rfam:Hordeum vulgare subsp. vulgare, WGS project CAJW01000000 data, contig: morex_contig_220862